AAAAAGAGGAAAAAGAAAAGGGAAUGAUAACAAAGAUACCAUUGGAAAACGUAACAUCGGAAGAAAAGUAGCACGUGGAACAGGGUCAAAUGAAUUAUCUACACUGUCUACUACGGCUCUGUAGUGUAGAAACCAUUAUAAAUCAAAGAACUACCGUAGGCCAGAGGGGAGGGGGGGGGGGGUCGUUCGAGGCAUUUUGGGGAGAAACGAGCAGGCGUGGACACAAACCAUUUUGAUUUCGGAGAAGAAAAUUUGUCACCCUUGUAAACCCCGCCCUUCUUUGUUUCAUGGACCUGCUUCUGAUAAAACUUAACAUUUUGUGCGUCGUUCUAGAGAACGUAACAAGUGGUGGUUAAUUUUAAGAUGCCGGUAAAAU